rnacentral:tRNA from 1 species
ACUUCUGAAGGAUGUUAGCUAACCCGUUGGUCUUAGAAACCAAAAACCCUUGGUGCAAAUCCAAGCAGCAGUU